GGACGCGGGGCAGAGGGGAUGUCAAAGCUUUUAUUCACCGGCUUUUAGAAAGCUCUCUAUUCCACGCCACUGCAUUUCCCUCUCCGCAGAGCUGAGAGCCCGUCUGCUCUGAGAAAAUAACCUCCGGCCUCCGCGCCGCCUCGCAAACAAACCAGCAUCGCGCACGCUGCUGCUCCCUGCUCGAAAGGGCCCAAUGAGAUACAGCAUAUAUCCAAUUUAGAGAGGCAGGAGAGGUUCAUCAAUUCAUGCUGCUGGUGCCUAUUUACAACUACGCUGUAAUCAAUUUGGACAGCUGCAAAGUAACAGCAGUGGGAGCAGGACCUGGUGCAGACCUCACAGUCUGGUACAGGAGGAAUUGGCCCCAUCGGGAAUAAAAGUAGAGGUAAUUCUGGGCCUGUCUGUGCCCGACACCUGACAUGGUUUGGGAUUUUUUUUUCCCCUCGUCCGACUGGAGCUGAAACACCUGCCGCGACUUCUGGGGAGUUUUGUUCACAUGUCAGUCCAUCCAGACACCCAGUGCUGUUUCAACUGUCACAACACAGCAGAGACUGAGGUCCUGUCUACUAAUUUCAUGUCAAAAUGGAAGGAGACUGGACCCCCUCCAAUUUUGGUGGUUUGGCUAAACAUCGUAACUAUAUCUUUCAAUAAAAACAUAACUCAAGUCGA